ACGCUCGACACCUACGGGAGUCAGCAGCAGGGAAUCUUCCACAAUGGGCGCAAGCCUGAUGGAGCAACACCGCGUGAGUGAAGAAGGGUUUCGGCUCGUAAAGCUCUGUUGUUGGAGAAGAACGUGCGUGAGAGUAACUGUUCACGCAGUGACGGUAUCCAACCAGAAAGUCACGGCUAACUACGUGCCAGCAGCCGCGGUAAUCUGAGGCCGGGCGUGGACGAAGGC
rnacentral:rRNA from 1 species